AAAAAUUUCUGAGCGUAGUGGACUGAGAAAAGCGGGAUAAAUGAAAAAGAGAAUAACUCCAACCACUUCCGUAGUGGGAAAAAUAUAUAAACACUGGGUCCCUGAUAAUACUAAGUACUAUCUUCCACUUGCCUGUCCUACGGGGGUUUCUCUGUGCGUGUGACUGAACCGUGGGAGAUAUACGAUAUCGCAGUACUUCCGAAGUAGUGCUACAGUGUUAUUUUGAAGAGACUUGGAGACCUCCAGUGGCGGGAUUAAAAACAUCUGACCCUCAACUGCUUCUGCACACCCCCCCAUCUCUCUUCUCGAGACUGUGAACCUCUCGUAGCCAGAGGAUUUGGCUGCUUGGAAGAACGCAGGCGUUCAUUGCAACCCUAAGCACUGCUUACUCAAAACUCACGCCUCCCUUGACUUACUCCCAAGUAAGCGGGUAUACAGCAUUGCAGCCUUUGCGUCCUAGGAAAACAACAACAACCCCUUUAUUGGACGUGUGUUCAACUGGACACUUGGACACUUGGAAUAGCCUGAAUAGAGGCAAGAAGGCGUCACAACAAGAACUAUAUAUUGAAUGAAUGGUAUAUACUUAUAUGGGGAAGAAAUAGCUUUGUCUAGUGUCAAUAAUAAAAAGAAAAAAAGGAACUUUGGUGGGGAGGGAGAGACGAAGGGUGUGGAGGGGGUGAGGGGCGUUACAUGGGAACGAGGUAAUUUAAGGAAAUAUAAGAAUAUAUGAUGUCUCAUACAGCGAAGAAAGGAAUGAAUGGGGGGACCCCUGGUGAAAGGAGGGGGUCCAAACAAGAGACAGACUCCAAGACAGAUAUCAUGAGGAUGCUAGUGGAAAUUAAACAGAGUCAAAAUAAUUUAGAAUAUAAAUUAGAACAAGUGGAUAAUAAAAUUGGGAAAAUGGACAAAAAAAUGGAUGAAACAGUUAGUGAACUUAAAGGUCAAAUAAAAGAAGUAUCUAGGAGAACGCAGAAUGUUGAGGAAGGAAUAAAAAAGACAAGAUUGGAAUUAAAGGAUAUUAAGCGGGAUAAGGAUAAGAUUAAAGUAGAAAUGAUGGAUUUAAAUAAAGCACAGGAGGAGAUGAAGGACAUUAUAGCAAUGAAUGAACUGCGACAGAGGGAAGUGAAUCUUAGAUUGAGAGCCGUUCCAGAGAUACAAGGGGAAAAUAUUAAGGAAAGAUUAAUAACAGAGCUGGCGGAAUGGCUAGACAUACCAGUAGAGGAAAUGGCAAAAAAUGUGCAGAAUGCAUUUAGAAUGCGUGU